AUUUGGUGCCGUGACUCGGAUCGGCGGACCUCCCUUAGGAGAUCAAUCCCCUGUCCUCCUGCUCUUUGCUCCAUGAGAAAGAUCCACCUACGACCUAAGGUCCUCAGACCAACCAGCCCAAGAAACAUCUCACCAAUUUCAAAUCCGAAAUCCUUCAUCUAAUCUGGCAAACACAUGUGGCAGGUUUUUCUCACCGCAUAAAAUAUGUUAUAGAGUAGUCCAUCUAUUUCUCUUCCAUGGAAGAGUUCAUCUGGUAGAUUGGACUACCACUUUUCCUUCAGGUCCCGAGUUCUCAUCCCGCAUCCAGGAA
rnacentral:lncRNA from 10 species